UGGGGAAUUUUGGACAAUGGGGGCAACCCUGAUCCAGCCAUCCCGCGUGUGCGAUGAAGGCCUUCGGGUUGUAAAGCACUUUUGGCAGGGAAGAAAAGGCGCAGGUUAAUACCCUGUGCUGCUGACGGUACCUGCAGAAUAAGCACCGGCUAACUACGUGCCAGCAGCCGCGGUAAUACGUAGGGUGCAAGCGUUAAUCGGACUUACUGGGCGUAAAGCGUGCGUAGGCGGUUUGGCAAGAAAGAUGUGAAAUCCCAGGGCUUAACCUUGGAACUGCAUUUUNAUCUGCCAGGCUAGAGUAUGUCAGAGGGGGGUAGAAUUCCACGUGUAGCAGUGAAAUGCGUAGAGAUGUGGAGGAAUACCGAUGGCGAAGGCAGCCCCCUGGGAUAAUACUGACGCUCAGGCACGAAAGCGUGGGGAGCAAACA
rnacentral:rRNA from 1 species